rnacentral:tRNA from 1 species
AGAAAAUUAGUUAAAAAAUAACGUUAAUUUGUCAAAUUAAAGUUACCUAAGUAUUUUCUG